rnacentral:rRNA from 1 species
UACAGAGGGUGCGAGCGUUAAUCGGAAUUACUGGGCGUAAAGCGCGCGUAGGCGGCUUUGCAAGUCGGGUGUGAAAGUCCCCCAGGCUCAACCUGGGAACUGCAUUCGAGACUGCAUUGCUAGAGUAUGGGAGAGGGAAGUGGAAUUUCCGGUGUAGCGGUGAAAUGCGUAGAUAUCGGAAGGAACAUCAGUGGCGAAAGCGACUUCCUGGACCAAUACUGACGCUCAUGUGCGAAAGCGUGGGGAGCAAACAGG